CGCAAGUAGAAAAAAUCCAAGAAAUAAACACGGCUCUCUUCCUUUCCCCUCUUUCAGCUUGAACAAAAUCCACCAUCGCAAAAAUGAAGGCCAUCGACUGCCACCAUCGCAACACACGGAACUCAACCGCGGAACACCGUCGUCAGUCGGAGUCGCCACCUGAUUUAGCAUGGAGACUGGGGAGAGAGAUCCGAUUAAGGAUUAAAAUCAUUUAUUGUACAAAAGUCUCUGAUUUUCCCAGGUUCGCGGCAGCGACACAGACUAAAUUGCUUGAAUUGCUGGGGAAACUUAAGCAGGAGGUUCUUUUUCUUGGUCUUGGUAGCCUGUACUCUGCACUAGUUCAUAGGUCGCUGAGUUCUUGGUUCCUGGUUUUGAGUCCUUGAUAAAAUGGAAAUGUGAUGUAAGAUUUUGGUGGUUGGAGGAAAGGAAGGUGAUGUAAGAUUUGAUUUUGUUUCCUUGAAGUUGCUAGUGGGAAUUAAUGAAAAGAAAAUGUGAUGGCCAGCUACCUGUCUCUAAUGUUUUAAUGUUUGAAACUUUUUCAAAACUGAAACUUGUUUGGUGGUUUAAUGUAGGGGUGAGCACCAACUGAUCCGAUUAGUGUUUACUGUUUAGGACCGACCCGAACAGAACUGGCAUCCAGAACAAACAAGACAGUCUGACCCGACCCGAGUUUGAUGAGAACACCUUCAUUCUGUGGGCGUCGAUUAUAAUUUUAACUAGUGAAAUUAUUUGUCCCUUUUAUAGAGGAAUUCUAUACAAAGACAAACACAGAGAGAAAGCAAGAGUGAGAGGAGGAAGUUGAAAUGAAGCCUAACCGUUGAGUCAUCGCUGCAGCUGCAUUCUUGGAGUGGGAGAGCUCGUCAUGGCUGCAGCUGCGUUCCUGGAGUCAUUGCUGCGUGGAUCCUGCUGGCUCUAGCCAUGGCACUCGCGGGUGACGGUGACAAUGGUGGCCCUGGGAUGAAAUGAGUUCUUCUCUCAGGCGCUGCGUUCGUCGCUUUCAUAUUGGUUUUCAUUGGACCCACGAUGAAAUGGGCAUUUUUUGCAGAGCCUUCGAUAUGAGUUUUAUGGGGAUUCCUCAAUGAUGCUUGGACCAAGCUCCUCAAGGUUGAUGCAAGCAAGCGUUGCUUUUCUUCUUCAAUUUAAUCGUUCGUUUGUUCAUGUAGUUUAUAAGGUUUGGUUUUUUUCCGUGAUGAAAUGCUCUGUUUUGUUGUUUUUAUUUUUCCAAAUCGGCAUAAAACUGAGGAUUUUCCUUGUGGUUGAACAAUGGAUCAACAAUCCGUUUAACAUGGUUGCACAGCCCUAGUUUAAUGCUGCAUUGUCUUUGGUUAGUUUCCAUUCUCAAGUUUGGGCGCUAGUAU